CGGCUUAGUAACAGUGCCGGCUCGAGCCGAGCCGGUACUGUGAAAUGACCGUUUUGCCCUCCAUUCUUUGCUUAAUUACGGUAUUCUGUUUGACCUAGGUAUAAAAGGUGUUGGGGGUGAUAGACGCGAUCUGUUUCCUCUCUCUUUCUCUCUUCGUUCUUAGCUCGGCUCUACGCAUCUGGAGGUAUGUAGUUGUUGGGUGAUGGGUUCUACAUGUCGUUGUUCUGUCUAUUUCUAUUCGAUUUAGAAGGGGCUUGAUCAGGUUUUGGUGUCGCUGGGUUUUGAAUAAUCGUGCUAGACCAAUCGGAUAAUUGUGUCUUCAGUUGGUGAUCUGCUACAAGUAAAUCAAUCGUACCUGGGUUUAGAAGAUAAACGUGUUAGAUCAAUCAGGUGAUGGGUUUAUGCUUAAUUGCGAUCUGCUGUUUGACUUGGGUAUAAAAGGUGUUGGGGUCAGAGACGCGAUCUUCUUUCUCCCUACGUUCCUUCUCUUUCAUUUUGCCUCACCUCUGCGUUCGUGGGUGAGAUUUAGGGAGAACAGGAAGGAGAGGGAUGAUGAGGUUUGGAUUUUGUUAGAUCAAAAAAGUGUUGGGGUGAUUAGAGUGAUCUUCUCUGUUUCUUUCUGUGUUCGUUCUUGGCUGGGCUUUUCACAUCUAGAGAUUGAUUUGGGGUAGGAGAGGCAGAGUGAUUGUGGAGGAAAUGGAAGAAGAAUUGACAGCGAAAGAUUAACGGGCUGCAUCAUAUUUUUUUGUGGAUAGAGAUAUUCUUUGGAGGCUCUACAAAGAAUAUGACUUUAGAGACGAGAGGAAUCCUUCUUGCUUGAAAGAAGGAGAAGGAAGAAGAGAGGAGCUUUUGUUUGCUUGAAAGAAAAGAAGUGGAAGGGAUUUCAAUAAACAAAAACGGCAGGUGGUAGUAUUGCUCUGUUCUUUGAUUUUUGGAUUGUUGUUCUUUGCUUCCUUGAUGCAGUUGCCUUUCUCUUGAGGGUCUAUUAGCAGAAUAUCAGAAGAGAUCAGAGAUGAGAACUUCUCCCUCUUGCCACCUGUACGUCCUAUCUUUCAAGAUCAGCAUUGCAGAUUAGCAUAGAGAGAGCUUGAACAGCAACUUCAACUUCAGCUAUUAUUUUUGAGAUUUCAUUGAGAGACGGCAGGCAGCUAGCAAUCCAGACAAAAAGCCCCGCAGGGAAGGAAGCACUGAAUCAGCAACAUCAUCCACAAACACUAUGAACAAGGAAAAAAUGGACUGAAAUAUCAUGUCACUUUUUGUGUAAAUAGAAAUGGAGGCAGCAACUUUUUGGACAACCUCCACAGCUAAUCAUCACUAGGCUAACAAUCUCUUAGCAACUGACGUCAUUUUUGAUAUAGUCACUAGGUUAGUCUAUAAGUAGAUCACUGUAUUUUGGAGAAGCUGUUUUAACAGCAUUUGUAAUAUAUAUUUGAACAUUACCAGAACAUCUAUAUUAAUGGUAAUGUUAGCUCCUGAUAUGGAGCAUGAAUCGAUGUAUUUUUAAGAAACUGUUUUAACAUCAGUUGUUUUAUAUAUAUUAACUAAAUUCUCUGUC